AAGAACCGAGACUGCGAAGGAGAACGCAUCAAGCCCAGGCGGCGGUGGAAAGGCUGGAGGACACACCUAAACAUGUGGAAUCCCAAUGCCGGGCAGCCAGGGCCAAAUCCAUAUCCCCCCAAUAUUGGGUGCCCUGGAGGUUCCAAUCCUGCCCACCCACCAUCUAUUAACCCACCCUUUCCCCGAGGCCCCUGUCCUCCUCCCCCAGGAGCUCCCCAUGGCAAUCCAGCUUUCCCCCCAGGUGGGCCCCCUCAUCCUGUGCCACAGCCAGGGUAUCCAGGAUGCCAACCAUCGGGUCCCUACCCUCCUCCAUACCCACCGCCUGCCCCUGGAAUCCCUCCUGUGAAUCCCUUGGCUCCUGGCAUGGUCGGACCAGCAGUGAUAGUGGACAAGAAGAUGCAGAAGAAAAUGAAGAAAGCUCAUAAAAAGAUGCACAAGCACCAAAAGCACCACAAGCACCACAAGCAUGGCAAGUUUUUGGCUUUCACCCCCCACCAGUGACCAAAGACUUGACCACUCAAAGUCCAGCUCCCCAGAACACUGCUCGACAUGGACACCGGUGUGAUUGAAGGUGGAUUAAAUGUCACUCUCACCAUCCGGCUACUUAUGCAUGGAAAGGAAGUUGGCAGUAUCAUCGGAAAGAAAGGAGAAUCAGUUAAGAAGAUGCGCGAGGAGAGUGGUGCACGUAUCAACAUCUCAGAAGGGAAUUGUCCUGAGAGAAUUAUCACUUUGGCUGGACCCACUAAUGCCAUCUUCAAAGCCUUUGCUAUGAUCAUUGACAAACUGGAAGAGGACAUAAGCAGCUCUAUGACCAAUAGCACAGCUGCCAGUAGACCCCCGGUCACCCUGAGGCUGGUGGUCCCUGCUAGUCAGUGUGGCUCUCUCAUUGGAAAAGGUGGAUGCAAGAUCAAGGAAAUACGAGAGAGUACAGGGGCUCAGGUCCAGGUGGCAGGGGAUAUGCUACCCAACUCAACUGAGCGGGCCAUCACUAUUGCUGGCAUUCCGCAAUCCAUCAUUGAGUGUGUCAAACAGAUCUGCGUGGUCAUGUUGGAGUCCCCCCCGAAGGGCGUGACCAUCCCGUACCGGCCCAAGCCGUCCAGCUCUCCGGUCAUCUUUGCAGGUGGUCAGGACAGGUACAGCACAGGCAGCGACAGUGCGAGCUUUCCCCACACCACCCCGUCCAUGUGCCUCAACCCUGACCUGGAGGGACCACCUCUAGAGGCCUAUACCAUUCAAGGACAGUAUGCCAUUCCACAGCCAGAUUUGACCAAGCUGCACCAGUUGGCAAUGCAACAGUCUCAUUUUCCCAUGACGCAUGGCAACACCGGAUUCAGUGGUAUGGAUACCUCAGUGUUUAUUUCUGUAAGGUGUAGUGCAAGAGAGAGAGGCCAGUCCCAAGGUCUCAGCUUGACAUCUGUUUAAAACAAACUUCGUUAUCCAGCAUCCUGCUGGUUUAAACUUGCCUGUCUACUAUGGCUAAGCCCAAGGAGGUAAUGUGUUUGUUAACGUGGUUUUCAUUUGGGGUCAGUUAUUCUAAAAGAAAAAAAAAGCCCUGGAAGGUUUGGGGGUGAGG
rnacentral:sRNA from 1 species